UCAUCAGUAGUCAUUCUUUUGUUUUGAUUUACCGGCGCGCAUGUUGCGUGCUCACAGUUUAAAAAAAAUAGUGAUAAAAAGUCCCUAAAAUCACCGUAAAUAUUACUAAAAAUGUCCAGUUCUGAAUCGGAAGAUGAGAACAUCAAACGGUUCUUGGAGGCAGCCGAUACGACUCUCAUCAGCGAUGCUAUGUUCCAGGGAAUUUCCGCUAAAACGCAGAGCGAGCCUAAACAAGAUAACAUUGUACAAAUCGCGAGUGAAUGCCCCAAAUCCAACCGUUACUUGGUGGACGAAGAAAACGUCUUUCAAAGCGAUGUCAACGUAACGGAGUCGAUGAAAAAGUUUGUCGGCAAAAAAUUAUCGUCAAUAAUUGAGAAAAACAUUGAUUUCGUUGAUAUAAAGGGUGGUAAGUUGCACAAACAUAGAAACAAGUCGGCUGAUUCCUCCGGAGUCAAACUUCUACGAGAUUGUGAUUCAUAUUUGAAAACCGUGGAUGCCGUGGAAGAUGUCCCUCCGCCACAGGGCAACAAACAUAGGAAGUCAAUAAAGAAACGUAUGGUGGAACCGGAUGUUUCUAGCGAGAAAGAAAAGCUUAGCCAGGUUGUUAUCGAGCCAGGUUCCAUUGCAGCUUUGAGCAAAUGUUGGACCAACAGACCGAAGACCGUCGUCUAUGAGUACAAAACUGUAGGUUCGAUAAAGUUGUUGCAAGAACCUAGCAAUGAGUUUACCAAAGCGAAGCGUAAAAACCAGUGGGAUGAGUCAAAAUAGCGAAAUAUGGGAAGAAACUUAAAGAGCGGUAGGUUGAGCCCCAUUGCAUUAAGCUCAUAAAACCAACGAAAAUACGACGGGGCACUAGACUAAGACGAUGGUGAUCAAUUUCAUGACAAGCCUUAGCCCUACCAGGAGUGUGAAGAAUUGAAAAGAAACUUUCAGCUCAGUGAGCCCAAUGUAACUUACACUACCCGUCAGACUCACAAAAAGUUUUGCAACAAUAUUGCAUCAUCCUGACUCACCUCAAUAUCUCCAAAACCUGAAGACUUACAAAGAUGCUGUUUUCAGCAAAGUUAUUUAGAAGCCCAAAAGCAACAACUUUUCUGAAGGCGGCAUUUUUGUCUAGGUGUUUCGGUUUCAGAGAUAUCGAGGUGAGUCAGAGGAUUCUAUAUCAUUCCCCAGAAAACCAUUUCCCAGAAUGUAUAAUUCCCCAGAAAAGCUUUAUAUACUCUUCUAAAUAGUAAAAUGCAAUACAUAAACAGUACAAUGUUGAUCAUAAUGGCAAAGAUUUUAACAUUAUAGUGUUUUUACGCGCGAAGUUUCAUUUCUUAUACGGUAUAUGUAACAAAUUGAAGUAAUUUAUUGAUGAACACAUAUCCAUAAAAAUAUUCCACAAUGGUUCGAACGUUUGAUUAUCAUCGUAAUUGAACCUAUUUUGAAAGCUCACAAACUGUCAUUAUUCCAUAAAUCCCAUUUUAUUAUUAUAAAAUGUUUCGUUCUUGACAGAUUUGACCAGCAGUUUGAACGUGAUACAUUUUAGAACGCAGUGAAUAACGUUUUAAAUGUGAUGUGCAAAAUUUACAGAGAAAACGCAUUUUCUACUGAUGUUUUAUUCAGUGUAUAAGAUGUUUGUGGACCAGUUCAUUUGUGGCCGGUUAUAUUCAAAAGAUUAUUCUGCCGAAAACUUUGGAUUACUCGGAAAGUCUCAACUGACCACGUUUUUAUACGUAAACUAGCUGUACCCGGCAAACUUUGUCUUGCCUACUGCGUUUUUUGACGUUUCAAGUUUCUAGCCAAGACCAAGUCCCCGGUCAAAAAGGUAUGAGAAACCGAUUUUCGAAAACUCUCAAUUCUUCCAUGUUUUAGGCCUCAUAAACCUUCCUUGGGUGAAAACUAACAGAACAAAACUUAGACGACCAAAAUUGGACCUUCCGUUCGCAAGUUAUGCGCGGUCCCACGUAUGCCAC